AGGGGGUGGGGUGGGGGGGUGGACAAAGUCACAACAGGACCCCUCCUGGGAGAGUGCGGCGCAAGGGACUGGCAGGCGUCGAGGUGUGGGCCGGAAGCCUCGCUGCCCCUUCCAGUCAAAGCUGCCACGAGAGCCUUUCGCUCCACACUCCGCGGCCCCCGCCCGGGGCGUGCGGCCCCCCACCUCACAGCCCGUUAAAUGCCAAACAGGCCUGAACUUACCGAAAUCAGGUGCUGGGUUCGGCUGGCUUGGUCCGCAGGGUCCAUGGCCGCAUCUCGGGGGCGGGCGGGCGUGGGGGGGGGCAAAAAAAGGGGGGUACCGGAGCCGCCUCUUGAUGUCAAGGCUUUAAAGGGGCCAAUGAGCCCCGCCCCUCGCCCAGACCCCGCCUCUCUCCUCCCGCUCAGCCAAUCCAGGCUCAGCAUGGGUGCGCGCUCCUCCCAGCUCUGUCCAGAUGUUCCCAGGACGAGAGCUAAGUCUGCCCGGCCGGCGCGCGCCGCUUCCGCCCCGGUGGGCAGGGCCUCCCCUCUCCUCUCCUCUCCUUCCCUUCCCUCCCCUCCCCUCCCCUCCCCCCUACGGAGGGAGACUCUUUCCCCAAGCCCGAGCGGACCUGCAAAACCUACCCAGAGCUAGAGGUCGGGAUGCCUCCCCGGCCGAGUGGGACUGGAACCGGGGCAUUUAGAACAGAGAAAACUAAGACCGUUGUUGUCAUGGUGUGGACAGAGAUAAGACUGAAGACAGAGCCAUCGGACAGAAAGACUUACAACAGCUGGGGAGAAGAAGGAAAAUCGGUAUGGUCUGGACCGUGAUAGAAGUGAUAGGUGCUGGAAACGUAGAGAAAACAUGGCAGACUGCGUAUGUGCUGCGUGCCUUUAUCCCGCCUCUUGGAAGGAUCUCUGGGAGUUCAAGACCAGCCUGGUCUACAUGCUGAGUUUCAGGACAGCCAGAGCUCCAUAAUAGAGAUGCCAGGUCUCAAUAAACCAAGAACCAGACACCAAACAAAGAAAGUGACACAAACAGUGUAGAAGCGAUGGAUCUCGGGGUUGGGAGAGGACAGGAGAGAGAGGAGGUCAAGACCUCUAGUAGGGCUGAUCACUGACAUAAGAUGGCAGACGAGAAGAGGUUUAGAUGGUGUGCUUUCUUCUGAACAGGUUGACGCUGAAAUGCCCAGAAGGUGCCCUUCCAGAAAUGCCUGCCCACGGUGAGCACUCCCUUCCCAGUUUCUCAGGAGAGGCUACAGAUGACCUCAAUCCUUGGGACAAUGCAAGUUCCCCGAGAGGAUCCUGUCUAUUCUGUAUUGCAUCAUCCAGCAGAGAAUAACGCCAUUUUCUCUGCGUUCCAUGAUGUCAGGAUGCUAAGAUGCGUUUCUUUACACGAGACGAAAGUGGAAGAGAUACUGGGGGAACGGAUGGUGUGGCAGGAUGAAUAUGGUCGAGACGCAUGUCUUUAUCAUAUCCGGUGUUAGGUACAAGGAAUAUAAACCAGCAC
rnacentral:sRNA from 1 species